AUAGUUUCUCUUCCCAAGAUAAAGAAGCUUGUAAAGUUGACACUUUAAGAAAACUCAUUUUUAAAGAAACAGCAGAAUUGUAUGAAAUACAAGACAAUGAAUUAGAGUCUUUUUACCUGGGCCUAGCACUGAACUACGAGAGCUUCACAAUAAAUGGUCCUAAAUUACAAUGGAAGGAUCAAGAAGUAAAAAAUCUAUUGAAUGUCAUCGUGAGAGAUUUAAAGGCAGAUUUCUUGAAACGUCUGCUGGUUAAUUACAAAGGCAACCCAGGAUUCAUUGAAGCGUUAAACGAGG
rnacentral:sRNA from 1 species